rnacentral:lncRNA from 1 species
AAAAUUCUAAUCAAAUCUUAAAUCUUAAUCUUAGACCAAAUCUCAAUAAAAUCCUUAAUCUUAAUCAAAUUUUAAGCAAACUCUAAGCAAAUUUUAAGCAAAUUCUAAGCAAAUCUUAAAUCCUAAUUUUAAAUCAAAUUCUAAUGAAAUCCUAAAACCUAAAUAAUCUCAAGAAGAUCUCAAAUAAAUUUUAAUCAAUUAUUAUAGCUAUUUGAAACCUCAAUAAAUUUUAAUUCAAUCACAGAUCUUAAUUAAAAUUUUACUUAGACUUCAAGUAAUAAGCAAUUAACCAGUAUAAAAAUUUUGAGAGAAAUGAAACUUAUCAAUUAUAAGAAAAACUCCCAAAACCUCUCAAUUGUUCACCACCAUCCUUCUCUAACUUGAAUAUUGAUCUUUCAACACUAAUUUUUCUUUGUUAAACUAUUCAAUUGUUCCAAAUAUUAGAUUAUGUAUAAAUAUUCAAGUCUCAAAUGUUCUCAC